AUUGAACGCUGGCGGCAUGCCUUACACAUGCAAGUCGAACGGCAGCACGGAGCUUGCUCUGGUGGCGAGUGGCGAACGGGUGAGUAAUAUAUCGGGACGUACCCAAGAGUGGGGGAUAACGUAGCGAAAGUUACGCUAAUACCGCAUACGAUCCAAGGAUGAAAGCGGGGGAUCGCAAGACCUCGUGCUCCUGGAGCGGCCGAUAUCUGAUUAGCUAGUUGGUGGGGUAAAGGCCCACCAAGGCAUCGAUCAGUAGCUGGUCUGAGAGGACGAACAGCCCAACUGGAACUGAGACACGGUCCAGACUCCUACGGGAGGCAGCAGUGGGGAAUUUUGGACAAUGGGGGCAACCCUGAUCCAGCAAUGCCGCGUGAGUGAAGAAGGCCUUCGGGUUGUAAAGCUCUUUUGUCAGGGAAGAAAAGGGUCUGGCUAAUAUCCGGGCCUCAUGACGGUACCUGAAGAAUAAGCACCGGCUAACUACGUGCCAGCAGCCGCCGUAACAC
rnacentral:rRNA from 1 species